GGACUAACAAUUAAAGAUGUUCAAACAACUCACUUGACAGAGAGCACAAACAACACAAAUUGAUCACAAUAGGUAAUCAGAAUAUCAUGGGAAACUAACUGACAGAAAAUUCACAUAUAUUGAAAUAGUAAAUCAGAUUACCAAUUAUCAAGUCUCCACUCUAAAUGUUCACAGAAAUUACACACACACAUACAUGUACACGCACAUAAACUGUUCUAAUUCUUGCAAAUCAACAGAAUACAUCCAGACAAGGACAAGUUCGAAUUUCACAGGAACCCACUCACAUCUAAUACAUAGAAAUUUCAGAGAGGGAGAGAGAAUAGUAGCAAGUGUUGGAGAAGGAGAAAGUGAUUCAGAAGAAGCAGGGAAGCAGCGAGGUAGGCGAAGAAGAAGCAGCAGCAGAGGUACAGAGAGAAGGAGCAGCAACGAGGAAAGUGGGAGAGGGAGCAGCAACAGUUUUAAGAGGAGGAGGAGCAGCAGCGAGAUUCAGAGAAGAAGAAGGGGAGCAGAGGAAGUGGAGUAGCAGCAGUAGGGACGAGGGGGAGCAGCAGUUUGGGGAUUUGAAGAAGGAAGAGCAGCAGGGAUGUGAGGAGAAGGGAGGAGCAGCAGGGGAAGAAGAGAUCGUGCGAGCGAUGGCGCGGCGACGAAGAUGGAGAUGGCGCGGUGCUGGUGGUGGUGUGAGGUGCGGCUCGUGGGAAGUGGUGCUGGUGGUGCGUGGUGGAGAUGGUCGUGGCUGGCGGCGAUGGUGGUGAUGGUGUGAUGGUGAGGGGCGCACCACCACGCCGGCCUGGCUGUGGCGGCGGCCGGAGGUGGAGAAGGAGGGGUGAGGGAGAGAGAUGAGUAGCCAGGCCCGAUGGGGAAUGGAGGCGUGCUAGGGAUUUUGAUCCCCCAUGAUCUGAUCUGUCUUUUUUUUUACUUUGGCCCUCCUCCUUUCUUCUUUCUUCCCAAGUUGAUCCUCUCCUGGCUACUUCGUUUCUUCUCGCACAAGUCCAUUCGUCCUCCUCUUCUUCGUUCUCUUAGCCACUUAGUCCGGAUCUUGAAGAUUUAUAGUGCCUUUGCGCACAUUUCUGCAAAAUAGACCAAAGACUAGUAAAUGAUACUUUAUAUGAUUUUCAUGCAAAUAUUCAAUAUUUCACAGCAAGAAUUGAUGGUCAUAUCUCAAUAAAUAAUAUAUUUCUAUGCCAAAAUUGUAUAUAUGAAAUGUGCUUAUCAAGUUCCCCCACGCUUAAACUUUUGCUUGUCCUCAAGCAAAGGCAUAUGACAAGAGCAAGAAUGUGAACAGUGAGCUGACUAGAGAAUACCAAGUGAAGUAGAUGCCUAAAUAGUGCAUGCUUUGGACUUAGCUAGUGAAAAUUAAUGGUUAGGAGUGCUUCAAAGCGGUAAGAUACUAGUAAGCAUGACCAUUUUAAACUUUUACAAUGAUAAAAGAGGAUCAACAAGUUUAAAUGAUGACUGCGCCAAAUGGUUCCUAAAGAGAGCAUGAUCCCGAGAACAAAAAGAACUGGAAUUAAAUCUCUUAUUUGCAGAAAUAUAACUUUGUGGUUGAACCACUUAUUGAAUUUGAAAGAAACACACAUAUUAUUUCAUUAGUCUCACCGAAGGAACAUACCACCGAUCCCGAGAACAUGGUAUACACCUGGCUCAACCAAUUUUUAUUAAAAAAAAUUGUUUGUCUCCCCAAAGGAACAUACCACCAAUCCUGAGAACAUGGUAUACAUCUGGUUCAACAAUUACAUUUUUAUUAUUAUUAAUUACUGCCCAAGCUAACCCGAUUUCACAUGCCACCGAUCCCGGGAACAUGACAUGCUACUGUAGGUAGCCAGACUUAUUUAUUCAUUAUUACUAAUCUUAAAUGAACAACGCAUAAGAACAAAAACAGGAAUCAUCACUUCUCCAUGUCUGGUUCACAUGCUACCGAUCCAGGGAACAUAGCAAGCUAAUCCAUAGUGGUUAGGUGAUUGCUCUCAAUGGGAACACAUUAGGCACAAACUCAGCAUCUGACACUUAAUGAUCUAGGUGUAUCGAGGUAAAAGCAGAAAAUGAUUAAGUUUUCUAGUGUACUAGGGAUUUGGGCACUCAAAACUAAUAGCUUUCACUAAUUUCAGCAAAGCAAGCAUAGUGUAGAUCACUAGGUUACAAGGCAUUCAACACUCACUUCACAUAUUCACAUCAAGCACCAUAUGUCAAAUAAAAUUCAGUGGGGCAACAUUUAAGGCAUGGCUUAAGUGACCCAAAUAGUAGUUGAUUACAGCAUGUAUAAUGUAUGAUGGUAUUCAGAUUGGGGUCAUGAAACAGCUCACCGGGCACUAUGAACUAGCACUUGCUUGAUCACUCUCUAAGCUGCAACUCUUCUCUUUUUGCUUCUCUAUCCUCAUGCGUGCUCCAGCUUCUCUCUUCAUGUGUGCUCCUUGCUUCUCCUCAUCCCCAUGCCAUGGGUCCACCUGGGUCCCAAGGAAUGUCGCCUCAAACCUGGUCAGCAUGAAGUGAACGGUGCAGAAGCAACAACCUGAAAAAACACUCCACAAAAGAGACAAUGCAAGCGGUAGGGAUAAUACCCUCGAAGUCAUCAAUCGAGUAUCCAAUUACAUAAGCAUAGCUAUAAAGCACAUGUUUAGGAUGGUAGAAAUCAGCAAGGUCAACACUAACAUGAGGAUGAUAUUCAUCAUUAAGCUCAACACUAGCAUGGGAAUGAUAUGUUUCAUUAAGAAUAGAACUAGCACGAGGAAAGUAAUUGUGAUCAUCACAAAUGAGAGUAAUGCCACUAACAGGGUGUGUAUGAUCAUGUCCAAGCAAAUAAUUUUUCAAAUCUACCUUAAGUGAUGGCAUCAUGCAAUGCAAGGUAGAAGCAAAUAUGUCAUAGGGACGCGUGUCAUCGAGAGGAUUAGAUAAACCUGACACAUCACGCUCUGGUAUGGCAAUAGGCAAAUGAAUUUCUGGUUCUUCAAGUUCAUCUACAUCAGCUUCUUUUGCUUCUUCAAGAGUAGUAGAUCUUUUUUCUUCAUCUUGAUCACUUAGGAAUUGCAGCUCUGGAUCAUCUUGUUCCUUGGCUUCGAGACAUCUUCAAUCUGAGGUCUCUCUUUCUCCGGACUCUUGCUAUCUUGCUCAGCUUGAUGUGAUGGUGCUAGAACCUCACAUGUAUCAAGGGGAAUCCCAGAAAUACUCAGCUCAAGUUGUGAUGAAAUAGUACUGCCAGUGUUGAUGUUCUUCUCAAUCUUCCUUACUUCUUCCACUAGCUCUUUUCCACUCUUAAUCUUCUUCAUUUCCUCUAGUAUCACCUUCCUAAUAGGAUCAUCUUCCGCAUUCCAAGUGAACUUGAGACUAAGCAAUGUGAGCUUAUCUAUGUCAUCGAACUCAUCUUGUGUGGGCACUUGUGCAUGAGAUUGCUCAACAGGUGCUGGAGUUGUUGGUUGACCAAGUGGAGGACCAUUUAACUCCAUUGGACACAUCUCCCGGUGUUGAGGUACAUGAAUAGGAGCUGAAUAAAAUUGUUGUGGUGCAUAGUUGUUACUCUCCUCAUUGUACCUAAUUCCCUGCAAUGGAUAACUAGAGGCAAACGAUGAGAUCUCAGGGUUGUUGUUCCUAUAUGACAUAUUCUGGUUUUCAGGCCACCCAUAUGAGUAAUUGUUUUGGUAUGAGCUAGGCUAUGGGGCGAAGCUCAUGCCAUAACAAUCGGGAGGGUGAGAGUAACCACGCUGACAUUCAUCAGGUGAAUGGCCCUGAAAACCACAAAUAUGGCAUGUAGGAGCAACAUAAGGAUAACCUCUAGAAUAAGGAUCAUAAGAGCUAGGCCUAUCCUCAAAAACUACUUCUCGCUGCCGAGCUAAAUCAUCUAAUCGAUGGGAAAUCUUACUUAUCAGUUCUUGAAUACUUUCUGUGCUAUUUGUAGUGUUGCUCGCAUAAGCAUGAUGAUCUGAGUAGGAUGCCAUUUCCAAGAAGACAAUUCAACCUACAAAAUGAACAAGAAAAUAAAGAGAAGAUAACUAGAACAGUGGUUAGGAGUAAGAGAUAUAUCACAAAUAUAUGGCACAAACUAGAAAAAGAAGAAAACCCUAGUCUAUAGCCUAACACGGUCACUCGACGCUAGUCCCCGGCAACGGCGCCAAAAUGAUCAAUUGUAAGCACAGUGGGGUUUUUACGCCCAAAAUUGCGAGUGUCGUGUUCUCCACAGGGACUAGGCGACGACAGUCGUGCUCGGCUAAAGCUAGAUUAGACGGAAAGGUUUUUUGAAAUUGCAAGACAAACGUAAGUAAAGCAAGUAUGUUCCAGAAAAUCCUUGACAAAUAAAAUGUACUCACUAUAUUUUUCGUGUUUUUAUUUGUUUUACUUUGGGAACUAAAAUACUAGCACAGGCUAACAUGAGAAACAAGGAAAACUACAAGACAGCAACACAUAUAUGUUCAGCAACUAGUAUGAAAGAGAAGAAUUAAGAUCAAGGGACAAGAACAGAAGUACUUCACAUCACAAGCAUAUAUAUAUUCACACGUACAUAGCUAACACAGGGACUAAGAAUUAAAGAUGUUCAAACAACUCACUUGACAGAGAGCACAAACAACAAAAAUUGAUCACAAUAGGUAAUCAGAAUAUCAUGGGAAACUAACUGACAGAAAAUUCACAUAUAUUGAAAUAGUAAAUCAGAUUACCAAUUAUCAAGUCUCCACUCUAAAUGUUCACAGAAAUUACACACACACACACAUGUACACGCACAUAAACUGUUAUAAUUCUUGCAAAUCAACAGAAUACAUCCAGACAAGGACAAGUCCAAAUUUCACAGGAACCCACUCACAUCUAAUACAUAGAAAUUUCAGAGAGGGAGAGAGAACAGUAGCAAGUGUUGGAGAAGGAGAAAGUGAUUCAGAAGAAGCAGGGAAGCAGCGAGGUAGGCGAAGAAGAAGCAGCAGCAGAGGUACAGAGAGAAGGAGCAGCAGCGAGGAAAGUGGGAGAGGGAGCAGCAGCAGUUUUAAGAGGAGGAGGAGGAGCAGCGAGAUUCAGAGAAGAAGAAGGGGAGCAGAGGAAGUGGAGUAGCAGCAGUAGGGACGAGGGGGAGCAGCAUUUUGGGGAUUUGGAGAAGGAAGAGCAGCAGGGACGUGAGGAGAAGGGAGGAGCAGCAGGGGAAGAAGAGAUCGUGCGAGCGGUGGCGCGGCGGCGAAGAUGGAGAUGGCGCGGUGCUGCUGGUGGUGUGAGGUGCGGCUCGUGGGAAGUGGUGCUGGUGGUGCGUGGUGGAGAUGGUCGUGGCUGGCGGCGACGGUGGUGAUGGUGUGAUGGUGAGGGGCGCACCACCACGCCGGCCUGGCUGUGGCGGCGGCCGGAGGUGGAGAAGGAGGGGCGAGGGAGAGAGAUGAGUAGCCAGGCCCGAUGGGGAAUGGAGGCGUGCUAGGGAUUUUGAUCCCCCAUGAUCUGAUCUGUCUUUUUUUUUUACUUUGGCCCUCCUUCUUUCUUCUUUCUUACCAAAUUGAUCCUCUCCUGGCUACUUCGUUUCUUCUCGCACAAGUCCAUUCGUCCUCCUCUUCUUCGUUCUCUUAGCCACUUAGUCCGGAUCUUGAAGAUUUAUAGUGCCUUUGCGCACAUUUCUGCAAAAUAGACCAAAGACUAGUAAAUGAUACUUUAUAUGAUUUUCAUGCAAAUAUUCAAUAUUUCACAGCAAGAAUUGAUGGUCAUAUCUCAAUAAAUAAUAUAUUUCUAUGCCAAAAUUGUAU
rnacentral:lncRNA from 1 species